AGAGUUUGAUCCUGGCUCAGAACGAACGUUGGCGGCGUGGAUUAGGCAUGCAAGUCGAACGAAUCCCUUGGGGCUUGCUCUAAGGGGGAAGUGGCGAAAGGGGCAGUAAGGCGUGGGUAACCUACCCCGGGGACGGGCAUAGCCGUCCUAACGGACGGGUAAUUCCUGGCGAUCUGAUCGGGGGGCAUCUCCUGGUCAGGAAAUGAAUUUCGCCUCGGGAGGGGCUCACGUAGUAUUAGCUUGUUGGUGAGGUAACGGCUCACCAAGGCGAAGAUGCUUAGCGGGUGUGAGAGCACGACCCGCGCCACUGGCACUGAGACACUGGCCAGACUCCUACGGGAGGCUGCAGUCGAGGAUCUUCGGCAAUGGGCGCAAGCCUGACCGAGCGACGCCGCGUGUGCGAUGAAGGCCUUCGGGUUGUAAAGCACUGUCGAGGGGAAGAAAGCCGCAAGGUUGAUCGACCCCUGGAGGAAGCACGGGCUAAGUUCGUGCCAGCAGCCGCGGUAAGACGAACCGUGCGAACGUUGUUCGGAUUCACUGGGCUUAAAGGGCGCGUAGGCGGGUGGCCAAGUCAGGGGUGAAAUCUUUCGGCUCAACCGGAAAAGUGCCUUUGAUACUGGUCAUCUCGAGGGAGGUAGGGGCAUGUGGAACUUCCGGUGGAGCGGUGAAAUGCGUAGAUAUCGGAAGGAACGCCGGUGGCGAAAGCGACGUGCUGGACCUUUUCUGACGCUGAGGCGCGAAAGCCAGGGGAGCAAACGGGAUUAGAUACCCCGGUAGUCCUGGCCCUAAACGAUGGGUACUGGAUUGUGGACUU
rnacentral:rRNA from 1 species